rnacentral:rRNA from 1 species
ACUCCUACGGGAGGCAGCAGUAGGGAAUCUUCCACAAUGGGCGCAAGCCUGAUGGAGCAACACCGCGUGAGUGAAGAAGGGUUUCGGCUCGUAAAGCUCUGUUGUUAAAGAAGAACACGUAUGAGAGUAACUGUUCAUACGUUGACGGUAUUUAACCAGAAAGUCACGGCUAACUACGUGCCAGCAGCCGCGGUAAUACGUAGGUGGCAAGCGCUAUCCGGAUUUAUUGGGCGUAAAGAGAGUGCAGGCGGUUUUCUAAGUCUGAUGUGAAAGCCUUCGGCUUAACCGGAGAAGUGCAUCGGAAACUGGAUAACUUGAGUGCAGAAGAGGGUAGUGGAACUCCAUGUGUAGCGGUGGAAUGCGUAGAUAUAUGGAAGAACACCAGUGGCGAAGGCGGCUACCUGGUCUGCAACUGACGCUGAGACUCGAAAGCAUGGGUAGCGAACAGGAUUAGAUACCCUGGUAGGAUAGCG